rnacentral:rRNA from 1 species
CCCAGACUCCUACGGGAGGCAGCAGUGGGGGAUAUUGCACAAUGGGGGGAACCCUGAUGCAGCGACGCCGCGUGGGUGAAGGAGCGUUUCGGCGCGUAAAGCCCUAUCGGCAGGGAAGAAGGAGGACGGGACCUGACUAAGAAGCCCCGGCUAACUACGUGCCAGCAGCCGCGGGAAUACGUAGGGGGCAAGCGUUAUCCGGAUUUACUGGGUGUAAAGGGGGCGCAGAAGGCAGCGCAAGCCAGGAGUGAAAGCCCGGGGCCCAACCCCGGGACUGCUCUGGAAACUGUGCAGCUAGAGUGCAGGAGAGGCAGGCGGAAUUCCUAGUGUAGCGGUGAAAUGCGUAGAUAUUGGGAGGAACACCGGUGGCGAAGGCGGCCUGCUGGACUGUAACUGACGUUGAGGCUCGAAAGCGUGGGGGGGCAAACAGGAUUAGAUACCCCUGUACU